GUAGGUGAACCUGCGGAAGGAUCAUUAACACGGAUCCAAACGUUAAAACCCCCCUGUGAACCUUCAACACCAAUAAGGGUCCUGCAAAUAGUUUGGGGCAACCCCUAGUCAAUCAUUGUCUGAAUCACAUUUUGAGUUAGGGGCUUCUCUGGGCACCGCGGUGAGCAGGUUUAGCUAUUUGCGUCCCUGGCGGCUCUGAAGUGACUUCCACUGUCUGAAAGUGUCAGUGUACUUGCGUACGGAGUUGGCGCAGUCAACGAAUCAAGGGGCCGACACGGCCCUGCGACCGGGACCCUUUGAGCGGGUAAAACGGCUCCACCAAGAUGAAAACCUUGCAUGACAUGAACGGCCGGCGCCGACAGGUUGUAGGCACAAAAAAACGAACAACUGUUAACAAUGGAUAUCUUGGCUCUC
rnacentral:misc_RNA from 1 species